UACGGAGGGGGCUAGCGUUGUUCGGAAUUACUGGGCGUAAAGCGCACGUAGGCGGAUCUGUAAGUCAGGGGUGAAAUCCCGGGGCUCAACCUCGGAACUGCCUUUGAUACUGCAAAUCUCGAGUCCGGAAGAGGUGAGUGGAAUUCCUAGUGUAGAGGUGAAAUUCGUAGAUGUUCGGAAGAACACCAGUGGCGAAGGCGGCUCACUGGUCCGGUACUGACGCUGAGGUGCGAAAGCGUGGGGAGCAAACAGG
rnacentral:rRNA from 1 species